GGGCACAUGGUGUAGUUGGUUUAUCACGCCCGCUUAGCAUGAAUUCGGUCUGAUUUUGAUUGCGGGAGGUGUUGGGUUCAAUUCCCAAUGUGUCCA
rnacentral:tRNA from 1 species